ACGUCUUUCAAUUUUAUCUGUCUCCAAUUAGGUAGGUACCUAGUUUGACAAGUGUUAAGUAUAAAAUCAUUAUCACUACAAAUGUAAUUUGUAAUGAAACACGAUAUAGCUACCUAUCUUAUUUUUCGCUCAUUGUAAUAGUAAUAAUUUAAAGGAACUUUUUGUAACUAGUUAGUAGUGUUGCUGUAGUCGUUUUUUUAAGGGUAUGCGUUAUACGGAUGCCUUUUAAAAUAGUGCAAACGACCGAAAGGGAUGAAGGAAUGUUCUACGGAACUUCUUGACUCACACAACAACCGAUUGUACUGUAUUUUGUGUAUGAGGUGUAUCAUUUUUUGGAACACGUUUUGCAUUUCUUAAACCAAAUAUAAAGUUUGAAUAUUC